rnacentral:rRNA from 1 species
CAGUAGCCGCGGGAAUACGAAGGGGGCUAGCGUUGUUCGGAAUUACUGGGCGUAAAGCGCGCGUAGGCGGAUAUUUAAGUCAGGGGUGAAAGCCUGGGGCUCAACUCCAGAAUUGCCUUUAAGACUGCAUCGCUUGAACGUCGGAGAGGUGAGUGGAAUCCCGAGUGUAGAGGUGAAAUUCGUAGAUAUUCGGAAGAACACCAGUGGCGAAGGCGGCUUACUGGCUCAUUCUAGACGCUGAGGUGCGAAAGCGUGGGGAGCAAACAGGAUUAGAUACCCCCGUAGUCCCUGUCUCUUAUAC